rnacentral:rRNA from 1 species
AAAGUUUGAUUCUGGCUCACAACAACGCUGGCGGCGCGUUCUUGGCAUGUCUGUCGUACGGAGGAUUCGUCACGAGUUGAAUCCGAGUGGAUAAUGUAUUCGCCAGUUAGGGACAGCUCAUGCACUCGCGGCGUAAUAUCUGAUACCAUCUGACGCGUGUGGUGCUCUGAAGAGCGCCGAGGUAGUCACUGGGGGAGCAGAUCACCUCCCAUUAGUUUGUUGGCAGGGUUCUGGCAUACACCGGCCACCAUGGAUAGCCGGCCUCAGAGGGUGUACCGCCUCAUUGGGACUGAGACGCCGCCUGCACUCCUACAGGAGGCAGCAGCUGUGAAUCUUCCGCAUUGGACGAUGGUCUGACGGAGCGACGCCUCGUGAACCAGGGUGAUUGAGUUCUUUUCAGGGGGCCGGAAUAACCCGGUAAUAUUCCUCGGGAACACCGUGCCAGCAGGCGCGGUAAUACGGAGGGUCCGAUCGUUAAUCGGAAUUAUUGGGCCUUACGGGAGCUCAUGUUGUUUGUUAAACGAGAGGUGAAAACCGUGAGCUCAUCCUUGGAAUAGCAUUUCCAACUGGCUAACUAUAGUCUUGUAGAGGGGGGUAGAUUCCAGGGGUAGCGGUGAAAUGCGUAGAGAUUUGGAGGAUACCGGUGGCGAAGGCGGCCCCCUGGACAAGACUGACGCUCAUGCACGAAAGCGUGGGGAGCAAACAGGAUUAGAUACCNUGGUAGUCCACGCCGUAAACGAUGUCUACUCGGAGUUUGGUGUCUUGAACACUGGGCUCUCAAGCUAACGCAUUAAGUAGACCGCCUGGGGAGUACGGCCGCAAGGUUAAAACUCAAAUGAAUUGACGGGGGCCCGCACAAGCGGUGGAGCAUGUGGUUUAAUUCGAUGCAACGCGAAGAACCUUACCUACUCCAUCCACAGAACUUUCCAGAGAUGGAUUGGUUCGCUGUGGAAGGUGCUGCAUGGCUGUUGUCAGCUCGUGUUGUGAAAUGUUGGGUUAAGUCCCGCAACGAGCGCAACCCCUAUCUUUAUUUGCCAGCACGUAAUGGUGGGAACUCUAGGGAGACUGCCGGUGAUAAACCGGAGGAAGGUGGGGACGACGUCAAGUCAUCAUGGCCCAUACGAGUAGGGCUACACACGUUCUACAAUGGCGAGUCCAUCGGGAAGCAAAGCCGCGAGGUGGAGCUAUCUCCCAAAGCUCGUUGUAGUCCGGAUUGGAGUCUGCAACUCGACUCCAUGAAGUCGGAAUCGAUAGUAAUCGUGGAUCACCAUGCCCCGGUGAAUACGUUUCCGCCUGAUGGCACAAUCCCCCGUC